rnacentral:rRNA from 1 species
ACAUGCAAGUCGAACGAUGAAGCCCAGCUUGCUGGGUGGAUUAGUGGCGAACGGGUGAGUAACACGUGAGUAACCUAGCCCUCACUUUGGGAUAAGCCCCGGAAACGGGGUCUAAUACUGGAUACGACCUUUCCUCGCAUGAGGUUUGGUGGAAAGUUUUUUCGGUGGGGGAUGUGCUCGCGGCCUAUCAGCUUGUUGGUGAGGUAACGGCUCACCAAGGCGACGACGGGUAGCCGGCCUGAGAGGGCGACCGGCCACACUGGGACUGAGACACGGCCCAGACUCCUACGGGAGGCAGCAGUGGGGAAUAUUGCACAAUGGGCGAAAGCCUGAUGCAGCGACGCCGCGUGAGGGAUGAAGGCCUUCGGGUUGUAAACCUCUUUCAGCAGGGGAGAAGCGAAAGUGACGGUACCUGCAGAAGAAGCACCGGCUAACUACGUGCCAGCAGCCGCGGUAAUACGUAGGGUGCGAGCGU